rnacentral:rRNA from 1 species
GAAGCAACGCAGCUACCAUGCAGUCGAGCGGUAGAGAGAAGCUUGCUUCUCUUGAGAGCGGCGGACGGGUGAGUAAUGCCUAGGAAUCUGCCUGGUAGUGGGGGAUAACGUUCGGAAACGGACGCUAAUACCGCAUACGUCCUACGGGAGAAAGCAGGGGACCUUCGGGCCUUGCGCUAUCAGAUGAGCCUAGGUCGGAUUAGCUAGUUGGUGAGGUAAUGGCUCACCAAGGCGACGAUCCGUAACUGGUCUGAGAGGAUGAUCAGUCACACUGGAACUGAGACACGGUCCAGACUCCUACGGGAGGCAGCAGUGGGGAAUAUUGGACAAUGGGCGAAAGCCUGAUCCAGCCAUGCCGCGUGUGUGAAGAAGGUCUUCGGAUUGUAAAGCACUUUAAGUUGGGAGGAAGGGUUGUAGAUUAAUACUCUGCAAUUUUGACGUUACCGACAGAAUAAGCACCGGCUAACUCUGUGCCAGCAGCCGCGGUAAUACAGAGGGUGCAAGCGUUAAUCGGAAUUACUGGGCGUAAAGCGCGCGUAGGUGGUUUGUUAAGUUGGAUGUGAAAUCCCCGGGCUCAACCUGGGAACUGCAUUCAAAACUGACUGACUAGAGUAUGGUAGAGGGUGGUGGAAUUUCCUGUGUAGCGGUGAAAUGCGUAGAUAUAGGAAGGAACACCAGUGGCGAAGGCGACCACCUGGACUAAUACUGACACUGAGGUGCGAAAGCGUGGGGAGCAAACAGGAUUAGAUACCCUGGUAGUCCACGCCGUAAACGAUGUCAACUAGCCGUUGGAAGCCUUGAGCUUUUAGUGGCGCAGCUAACGCAUUAAGUUGACCGCCUGGGGAGUACGGCCGCAAGGUUAAAACUCAAAUGAAUUGACGGGGGCCCGCACAAGCGGUGGAGCAUGUGGUUUAAUUCGAAGCAACGCGAAGAACCUUACCAGGCCUUGACAUCCAAUGAGCUUUCUAGAGAUAGAUUGGUGCCUUCGGGAACAUUGAGACAGGUGCUGCAUGGCUGUCGUCAGCUCGUGUCCUGAGAUGUUGGUUAAGUUCCGGUAACGAGCCGCAACCCAUUGUCCUACGUACCAGCACGUAUGGUGGGUACUUCUAUGGAGACUGCGGUGACAACCGGAGCAGGACGGGAUGACGUCAGUCAUCAUGGCCUUACCGCCCGGGCUACAUACGUGCUACAAUGAUCCGUACAAGUUGCCAGCCGGAAAGGCUCUGCAGUCUUAGUCAGUAAGACGAAUAUGCUAAUAUCGAAUCACUCAGUUGAUGCGACG